GCCUCAGUAGUGUAAUGAAUAAACACGAUAGACCAGAUAUCUUUAGGUUCGGGUUCGAGUCCCGCCUAUGGUU
rnacentral:tRNA from 1 species